UACGUAGGGGCCGAGCGUUGUCCGGAGUUAUUGGGCGUAAAGCGCGCGCAGGCGGCCUCGCGCGCCCGACGUGAAAGCCCCCGGCUUAACCGGGGAGGGUCGUUGGGGACGGCGGGGCUUGAGGGCGGGAGAGGGCGGUGGAAUUCCCGGUGUAGUGGUGAAAUGCGUAGAGAUCGGGAGGAACACCUGUGGCGAAGGCGGCCGUCUGGGCCGACCCUGACGCUGAGGCGCGAAAGCGUGGGUAGCAAACAGG
rnacentral:rRNA from 1 species